UACGUAGGGGGCAAGCGUUGUCCGGAUUUAUUGGGCGUAAAGAGCGUGUAGGCGGCUUGGUAGGUCCGCUGUGAAAACUCGAGGCUCAACCUCGAGAUGUCGGCGGAAACCACUUGGCUAGAGUCCGGAAGAGGAGAGUGGAAUUCCUGGUGUAGCGGUGAAAUGCGCAGAUAUCAGGAAGAACACCUAUGGCGAAGACAGCUCUCUGGGACGGUACCGACGCUGAGACGCGAAAGCGUGGGGAGCGAACAGG
rnacentral:rRNA from 1 species